rnacentral:lncRNA from 1 species
UUGGGAUUUUAUUUAGCGAUAAAAUAAUCAUCGUUAACAUAAAUGUAAAAAGGUUAAGAAAUGUGGGAAACGCAACAGUAUGCUAAUCACAAGAUUAUGUUGCAAAUCAAUCUGGGUUCAGCAUGGCCUAAUCAUAUGUGCGUGCAUGGUUAAGGCAGUUUUUGCUUAUCUUUACCUCAUUAUUACUUAGGCCUGAAAAUUAAUGCAUUAGUAAUCAUUUUAAGGAAAAGUAAAGAGAUGAUAAAGUUGAAAAAAAAGGAUACUUGCCUGAAAUAUAAUCUUGAUUGGAAUUUGGAGGCUCUUCUCAAUGCCAUAGCUUUCUUCUUUUGCUAGUCUAAGAGUGUGUAUUCUUGUUUGAAAAGAGAAAGAAAUAAAUAUAAGUAUAAGAUGACUAAUACGAGUGGUGUUAUUAUAUAUAAUUGUACCUUGGUUUAAUGUGUUUCUAACUAACCAUUAUAAAUU